GGUGGCUCAGUGGUAGAGUGCUUGUCUCGCACGCAUGAGGCCCUGGGUUUGAUUCCUCAGCACCA
rnacentral:tRNA from 1 species